rnacentral:rRNA from 1 species
CUACGGGAGGCUCCAGUGGGGAAUAUUGGACAAUGGGGGCAACCCUGAUCCAGCCAUGCCGCGUGUGUGAAGAAGGCCUUUUGGUUGUAAAGCACUUUAAGCAGGGAGGAGAGGCUAAUGGUUAAUACCCAUUAGAUUAGACGUUACCUGCAGAAUAAGCACCGGCUAACUCUGUGCCAGCAGCCGCGGUAAUACAGAGGGUGCGAGCGUUAAUCGGAAUUACUGGGCGUAAAGCGAGUGUAGGUGGCUCAUUAAGUCACAUGUGAAAUCCCCGGGCUUAACCUGGGGACUGCAUGUGAUACUGGUGGUGCUAGAAUAUGUGAGAGGGAAGUAGAAUUCCAGGUGUAGCGGUGAAAUGCGUAGAGAUCUGGAGGAAUACCGAUGGCGAAGGCAGCUUCCUGGCAUAAUAUUGACACUGAGAUUCGAAAGCGUGGGUAGCAAACAGGAUUAGAUACCCUAGUAGUC